UCUUAUGGCAUUUUAAACAAGACAAAAAUACUGAGUAAGAAAAGUAUUUUUGCAGUGUUGAUUUUACGAUCUCAGAAUAAAAGUUGUGUGACAAGACGGGGUUAAGGGUUUAAACGCAUGUGGUGAUAUUUCUGAGAUUCAAAUCAAAUCAUCCUGUAUAAACUGCAGACUGACUGGUAUGUCUCUUCACCAACGAUUUGUACAGCUGAAAUGAGCAAGUUGUCCUCAUUUUUCUCAUAUCUUAAACCCUGUAUUCCUCACUUGUACAGCACUUCUUCGGACGAUGACACCUCCUUAGCUGAACUGGGUACAGCUGGAACCAGUUCGCGGAAAGACUUCUCUGCCUUUGUGACCAGAUUUCCGGUUUCUCUGGAGGGCCAGCCACCAACCAAAAGGCAGCGGGUUGAUUCAGGGUUUCCUGCAGACCGUGUCUUUUACGACAAGUGGCGGACUUCUCAGUACGCCCAGAGAGAGGAGUAUCUGUUCAGCACGCUUCACACUCCGCAAGCCUUCAGCCGUAAAGGUGGCGAGGCUGAUCGCGCAGGAGGGGUGGAAGGCCAACCAUCCCAAGCCCGAAGAGAUCGAACGGUUGUGGAAACCGGCUCCCAAGCGCACCAUCGAGACUGAUGAGGUCAUAAUUAAAUGUGUGUCUGAGCAGACCUGGACAGGCCUGGCCAUCAAGGACUUUGGUGCCGAGCAAGGUCUAGGAGUGGUUGCAACACGACGGUUUUCUAAAGGCGACAUUGUGUGCGAUUACCACGGGAAGGUAAUCCCAGCUGCAGAAGGGAGGGCCAUGAUGCAGAACAUUCAUGACGAGGCCGGGUACGUGUUCUUUAAAGCUGGACAGAGAGACCUGUGCAUCGACGCCCAGACCUUCCCCUGCGAGUGCCACCCCGACGCAAACACAGUUGGCAGAAGAAUUAACCAUUCUUCCAAAAGGCCCAACUUAAAGCCCUUUCACUGUGUGCUGAAGGUGAACGGAGAAGACAAGGAUGUCAUCCUCUUCAAGGCACUGCAGGACAUCACCGUGGACACACAAUUCAAAUUUGACUAUGGGGUAAAGAGAAAGUCUUUCCGUGGAGAGGGCCUGAACCUGGAGUGGCUGGAUGAGUAGGCUUCCAUGUACUUUUUUUAGUAGGUUACACAAAGAUGAGAUAUGUGGCUUGGAAAUUAGCCCGCUCAUUCUUCUCCUUGCCUACUUUUUUUCUCUUUAGCCACAAAAAAAAAAGUAAAAGACCAAUACAGAUAUUUUUUUUUCUUUCAAUAUUCAUAGUGGAAGUGCACCAGUCUGCUGUGACAGAAACCCCUGCUGCCCAUCAUCUGUUUGUCCUGGAGAGAGAAAGAUCACUGACUUCUCCAGCCAAGAUAAGUUCAACCAACUGUUUUAUAUGCUCCACUAAUCAUUCGAUUCACACAGACAGUCUGAGUCUAAUCUGCGAUUUCUUCUUCGUUGCAGCUACAAAUAACCAAACAUCAGCAGCUCACUCAGAAGAAGAAGAAGAAGAAGAAGAAGUUUUAGCGUUCGUCCCACCUUUUAACAACUGGAGACAGUAUGUGCCAUGAUGCACAGUACACACAGGACCAUGGGGAAAUUUGACAGAGGGGGGCACACGCUGGAUCAAGCUUGCAAGACAUAUUCACAUCAACACGACAAAGGUAUUUAAAUUAAAACAAAACUCAUCCGACUCGUGAUUUCAUGACAUCAGUUAAUUUGCUUUGUUUUCAAUGCCAAGUACACCCAUAGCGCUGGUGCAGUCCGGCCUCGGGAUGUUGUGGACGCAGCUGAGCUGUUGGACUCGUUGGCCGGGUAUGUCUCUUCACCAACGAUUUGUACAGCUGAAAUGAGCAAGUUGUCCUCAUUUUUCUCAUAUCUUAAACCCUGUAUUCCUCACUUGUACAGCACUUCUUCGGACGAUGACACCUCCUUAGCUGAACUGGGUACAGCUGGAACCAGUUCGCGGAAAGACUUCUCUGCCUUUGUGACCAGAUUUCCGGUUUCUCUGGAGGGCCAGCCACCAACCAAAAGUUUGUAACGCUCUCUGCAGAGCUUUGCAGUUGAGGACAGUGUUGUUCCUAUACCAGGCAGGGAUGCAGCCAGUCAGGAUGUUCUCCACAGUGCAUGUGUGAAAUGAUUUGAAGGUUUUGGGUCUUAAACUGAACUUCCUCAGCUGUUUGCAGAAGAAAAGACACCGAUGAGCCUUCUUCAGCAAAGCGUCGGUGUGGAUGGACCAUGUGUGGUCCCCUGGUGAUGGGAACAAGAAGAAACUUAGCUCAUCAGCGCCACUGAUGCGGUGUAGCCUUUUCUCAAGCAGGGGAUGAAGUCCUUACAUAAGAAAACAUGCAUUAGGAGGUGGUAAAAUCAAUAAACAAUUUAUAAUACUAUUAUUUAUAAUUGUUGCACUGGACUUACUAUUGAUUCCUGUUGGAGGUUUUUGGAGGUAUGGGUCAAAAGAAUCCUUCCACAAUUAUCUCACAGGUGUGAAGUCAGCACUGAGUGUUUUCAGUGUCAGCACAAGUAGAAAAGGAGAAUACAUGCCUAUUUCUUCAACAACUGGCUUCAUCCUCCUUCAAACAAUCAGACAAAACAAUAAAAUCAAUCAAUUCAAUGAAUGCAGGUUUGCAUUUUUCUAAAAAAAAAAAAAAAAAAAAAAAAAAAAAAAAAAAAGUACAUUUCUAUAAUGUACUUAAAGUGCUCUAUUUUCAUGCACUAAUUUUGUACUUUAGUACUUUUAUACUAAAAAGUAGAAUUAAGAAUCUUAAGAACAUCUAAGUGUACUCAACUGUGCUAUUUUGAGACACCAUGAAAUAUGAACUAAAAUGUGCUUUUAAUAUACUAUCUCUGUAUUUACAAAAAAAAAAACAAAACAAAAAAAAAACUACUUGUAGUACACUAUUGGUUCAAAUGUACUAUAAGUGCUAACUAAACAUUUUUUUAAAUACAGAGAUAGUAUAUUAAAAGCACAUUUUAGUUCAUCUUAAGAACAUCUAGAAGUAGAAUUUUUAGUAUAUUAAGUACAGAAUUAGUGCACAAAAAUAGAGCACUUUAAGUACAUUAUUGAAAUGUACUUUUUCACCUGGUUUCAGCAAUGAGUUCUUGGAUUUCUGUGUCUUCUUGUUGGGCUUUGGCAAUGUCUGACCAUUCUAUUGGAAAGGCUGCAAAGGAAGUUGAAGAAUCUAUGGGAACACAACUAUGGGAAAGUGUGUCUGGAAAAAUACUAUUGUCUUUUUCUGUACUUGACAGAGAAUUCAAAUUCUUGGAGACAGAUUCCCCAGUGUAUCAAUCGAGAUGAGGGUUUUGGAUCGUUGAAAACCCAGGUAAGAGCAGCUCUAGGGAUGACCAUUUGAAGUGAUCAUGCUAAGGUCUCCAUUUUUCUAUUGCCCAUACCACAGCACAACACUCCUUAUCCGAAACGGAGUAUGACUUUUCAGCUCCUCUUAAAAGACGUGAAGCAUAGCCGACUACAUGUUCCACUCCUGCAAUUUCUUGGGUUAGAACAGCUCCUACUCCAAGGUCGCUUGCGUCCAUCUGGACUCUGAAUGGUGCACUCAGGUCAGGGGGAAUUGUGAUUGGUGCACUAAUCAACUCGAAGGAAUUCUGACAUUCUUCGGUCCACAUCCACGUAGCUCCUUUCUUUUUCAAGGCAUGCAAUGGUGCAACCUUUUCUGAGAAUUUUGGAAUACAUCUCUGGUACCAGCCUGCCAUUCGUAGAAAUCGUUGCACUUCCUUCAGAGA